rnacentral:rRNA from 1 species
CCUACGGGAGGCAGCAGUGGGGAAUUUUGGACAAUGGGCGCAAGCCUGAUCCAGCCAUGCCGCGUGCAGGAUGAAGGCCUUCGGGUUGUAAACUGCUUUUGUACGGAACGAAACGGCGAGCUCUAAUACAGUUUGCUAAUGACGGUACCGUAAGAAUAAGCACCGGCUAACUACGUGCCAGCAGCCGCGGUAAUACGUAGGGUGCAAGCGUUAAUCGGAAUUACUGGGCGUAAAGCGUGCGCAGGCGGUUAUAUAAGACAGAUGUGAAAUCCCCGGGCUCAACCUGGGAACUGCAUUUGUGACUGUAUGGCUAGAGUACGGCAGAGGGGGAUGGAAUUCCGCGUGUAGCAGUGAAAUGCGUAGAUAUGCGGAGGAACACCGAUGGCGAAGGCAAUCCCCUGGGCCUGUACUGACGCUCAUGCACGAAAGCGUGGGGAGCAAACAGGCUUAGAUACCCGUGUAGUC